rnacentral:lncRNA from 1 species
AUUUGAAAUCACUGCUUAUAUACCUGGUAUUGGCCAUAAUUUACAAGAACAUUCUGUAGUAUUAGUAAGAGGAGGAAGGGUUAAGGAUUUACCCGGUGUGAGAUAUCGCAUUAUUCGAGGAACCCUAGAUGAUGUCGUAGUAAAGAAUCGUCAACAAGGGCGUUCUACUGCGUUGUAGAUUCUUAUCCAAGACUUGUAUCAUUUGAUGAUGCCAUGUGAAUCGCUAGAAACAUGUGAACUGUAUGGCUAACCCAAUAACGAAAGUUCCGUAAGGGGACUGGAGCAGGCUACCAUGAGACAAAAGAUCCUCUUUCUAAAGAGAUUUGAUUCGGAACUCUUAUAUGUCCAAGGUCAAUAUGGAAAUUCUUUCAGAGGUUUUCCCUUACUUUGUCCGUGUCAACAAACAAUUCGAAAUACCUCGACUUUUUCAAAACAGGUCCGAGUCAAAUAGCAAUGAUUCGAAGCACUUCUUUUUCCAUUACACUAUUUCGGAAACCUAAGGACUCGAUCGUAUGGAUAUGGAAAAUACAGGAUUUCCGAUCCUAGUGGGAAAAGGAGGGAAACGGAUACUCAAUUUAAAGUGAGUAAACAGAAUUCCAUACUCGAUCUCAUAGAUCCCUAUAGAAUUCUGUGGAAAGCCGUAUUCGAUGAAAGUCGUAUGUACGGCUUGGAGGGAGAUCUUUCCUAUCUUUCGAGAUCCACCCUACAAUAUGGGGUCAAAAAGCCAAAAAAAUAAGUGAUUUUAGCCCUUAUAAAAAGAAAACAGAUUUUGAACCUCUUUCACGCUCAUGUCACGUC